CCAACCUAGCAGUUAGGACCCAACCCCUGUGACAUACCUAUACGUUGCCUCGGCGGAUCAGCCCGCGCCCUGUAAAAAGGGACGGCCCGCCCGAGGACCCUAAACUCUGUUUUUAGUGGAACUUCUGAGUAAAACAAACAAAUAAAUCAAAACUUUCAACAACGGAUCUCUUGGUUCUGGCAUCGAUGAAGAACGCAGCAAAAUGCGAUAAGUAAUGUGAAUUGCAGAAUUCAGUGAAUCAUCGAAUCUUUGAACGCACAUUGCGCCCGCCAGUAUUCUGGCGGGCAUGCCUGUUCGAGCGUCAUUUCAACCCUCAAGCUCAGCUUGGUGUUGGGACUCGCGGUAACCCGCGUUCCCCAAAUCGAUUGGCGGUCACGUCGAGCUUCCAUAGCGUAGUAAUCAUACACCUCGUUACUGGUAAUCGUCGCGGCCACGCCGUAAAACCCCAACUUCUGAAUGUUGACCUCGGAUCAGGUAGGAAUACCCGCUGAACUUAAGCAUAUCAAAAGCGGGAGGAA
rnacentral:rRNA from 1 species